rnacentral:rRNA from 1 species
UGAUGCCAGAGAAUGCACAUGCAGUCGAGCGAACAGACAAGGAGCUUGCUCCUUUGACGUUAGCGGCGGACGGGUGAGUAACACGUGGGUAACCUACCUAUAAGACUGGGAUAACUUCGGGAAACCGGAGCUAAUACCGGAUAAUAUUUCGAACCGCAUGGUUCGAUAGUGAAAGAUGGUUUUGCUAUCACUUAUAGAUGGACCCGCGCCGUAUUAGCUAGUUGGUAAGGUAACGGCUUACCAAGGCGACGAUACGUAGCCGACCUGAGAGGGUGAUCGGCCACACUGGAACUGAGACACGGUCCAGACUCCUACGGGAGGCAGCAGUAGGGAAUCUUCCGCAAUGGGCGAAAGCCUGACGGAGCAACGCCGCGUGAGUGAUGAAGGUCUUCGGAUCGUAAAACUCUGUUAUUAGGGAAGAACAUACGUGUAAGUAACUAUGCACGUCUUGACGGUACCUAAUCAGAAAGCCACGGCUAACUACGUGCCAGCAGCCGCGGUAAUACGUAGGUGGCAAGCGUUAUCCGGAAUUAUUGGGCGUAAAGCGCGCGUAGGCGGUUUUUUAAGUCUGAUGUGAAAGCCCACGGCUCAACCGUGGAGGGUCAUUGGAAACUGUAAAACUUGAGUGCAGAAGAGGAAAGUGGAAUUCCAUGUGUAGCGGUGAAAUGCGCAGAGAUAUGGAGGAACACCAGUGGCGAAGGCGACUUUCUGGUCUGUAACUGACGCUGAUGUGCGAAAGCGUGGGGGAUCAAACAGGAUUAGAUACCCUGGUAGUCCACGCCGUAAACGAUGAGUGCUAAGUGUUAGGGGGUUUCCGCCCCUUAGUGCUGCAGCUAACGCAUUAAGCACUCCGCCUGGGGAGUACGACCGCAAGGUUGAAACUCAAAGGAAUUGACGGGGACCCGCACAGCGGUGGAGCAUGUGUUUAAUUCGAAGCAACGGGAAGAACCUUACCAAUCUUGACAUCCUUUGACACCUCUAGAAGUAAGAGCUUCCCCUUCGGGGACAAGUGACAGGUGGUGCAUGUGUCGUCAGCCUCGGGUCGUGGAGAUGUUGGGUAGUCCCGCACGAGCGCACCCUGAGCUUAGUUGCAUCAUAAGUUGGCACUCUAGUGACUGCGGUGACAACGAGAGUGGAUGACUCAUCAUCAUGCCCUAGAUGGCUAACUGGCCAUGCAUCAGGGACCAAA